rnacentral:tRNA from 1 species
AAGAGGGUUGCAGGGUGGAUAGCGGUUGAUUUGAAGUCAAAGGGUGGGGGUUCGAUUCCUCCCCCUCUUA